rnacentral:rRNA from 1 species
UUUGCACAUGGGCGCAGCCUGAUGCCGCCAUGCCGCGUGUAUGAAGAAGGCCUUAGGGUUGUAAAGUACUUUCAGUCGGGAGGAAGGCGCUGAUGCUAAUAUCAUCAGCGAUUGACGUUACCGACAGAAGAAGCACCGGCUAACUCCGUGCCAGCAGCCGCGGUAAUA